GGUUCGUAAGCAAAGAUCAGACAGCGUUUGCAAUGUGGGUUUUACAUCCUCAAAUGCUCGCGAUCAUACAAUUAGGGUUUUGAUCCGGUUGUCAUAUUUUGGAGGUUUAUGUGAGUGUGAGGGAGAAGUGGAAAAUAGUGUGAUUCUGAUGAAACACUGCAGAGGGUUCUUCUUCUUGUGCAUCGUCAUGUCUUGUCUUGUCUUUCUUAGAGUGUGGAGAAAAAUUGAUUUGUGAUGGAUUUGUGAAUAAGUUUGUGUGCAUCAGACUGCGAUUGUAGAUUGUGGUUUUUCCAACAGCUGAGUCAAUGAUUUAUUUUAUGCCGAUAUCAGCACUCAUCUUCUUGUUAAAUACAUUACUUGCACUUCUGUUUUGGUAUUUGUCAUUUUGUUUCGGUGUCUACUCUGUGAAUUAUACCCACAUGGGGCUCGGUAAAAGAGUGCUUGAUUCUGUGUCACGCUUUGCAUUUUGAGUCGAAAGGUUCUGGUGAGGUCCCUCGGAAGCAUCAACGUUGAAAGACAGGUUGGUUUGUGGGCAGGAUGUCAUGUGAAGGAUGCUUGGGUUCCACUACAACUGUGAGCAGCAAGUGUUUCCGAUGAUUGCCGCCUGCUCCUCCCAGACACAUGAAGUUAAGAUCAGCGGUGAUCUUUCUGUCAGGAGGAAUCUGAAUUAUUGAUGGUGAUUGACCACUACUACCUGCAUUUGAACUAAGCGAUUUUUUUUUUUUUUUUUUGAAUUUUUUUUAUGUUGCUAGUUUGUAAAUCUUUUUAUUUUAUAUUAUUUUAUAUUUUAGGUUUAAGUGUAGUUAGAAGUUGGUUGGGAAGGCGCAGGUCUAAAAACUGUGAAGCUUGAGGUAAAUCUGUUCACCUUCACAAAUUUGGAAACCACUGCUUCAUUAUUUUAUUCUAUUUUACUUUGUGUUUUCGUUCUUCAA